rnacentral:lncRNA from 1 species
UGAAGUGACUAUAUAAAGGACUUUAUAGCCUAAAUUCAUUAGGGGUUCUUUUGGAGAAAAUUGGUGAGAACUUGUCUCUCCAUUUCUCUCUAAAGAGGCCGGCCCCCUUGGAGGGUGUAUCUAGCAAUUCCACUACUCCAAGGUCACUCAUUUUCUUCUCCAAUCUCUCCUUGGUGUGGAGACUUAGAGGUUCUCAAUUUUGGGAACUUGGAGAAACCUUUUCAUCCAUCCAAAUCCAUAGAUUUUAGAUGCAAGGAAUGAAGGCCCUCUCUUUGGGUGAUUAGCCUUUGCUUAUGUAAAGAGGAAUCUACAAAGGUAUAAUUUCAACUCUCUUUGGGUGAUUAGCCUUUGCUCAUGAAUGUUCUUUAUUGUUCUUAACAUUUUUGCCAAGAACAAAAAGUUUUGUGUUUUGAUUCAAAGUUUUGAUUUCUUUCAUAAAGUUUAUGUUUUAUGUUUUUCAAAUGUUUAAAUGUUUUAGAUAUUUGUUUAAAAGGUGAUAGAAAUAAUGGUGGGUGUGAAAGGAUUAAUUCCCUUUCACACACACCACUUGUGCACUUGCAUGCUUUAUGUCAAAACUCACAAAUCAACACACACAUCACUCACAUCUCCUCUCCAAAACCGGC